UUACACCUGUAAUCCCAGCACUUUGAGAGGCUAAGAUGGGAGGACUGCUUGAGCCCAGGAGUUUAAGACAAGCCUGGGCAACAUAGUGAGAGUCCUUCUCUACAAAAUAUUUUUUAAAAAACAAAAUUACCCUGGCAUGGUGGCAUGCACCUGUAGUCCUAGCUACUCAGGAGGCUGCAGUGGGAGGAUUGCCUGAGCCUGGGAGAUCAAGGCUGCAGUGAGCCAGGACAGCACCAGAGUACUCCAGCCUGGGCCCAGUAUAUAAAAUAGUAGAUGGACAAAUACUCUCCUUGGCAGUGCCCACAUUCUUUUUUUCCCCUGAAUUUCCCUUCCUAAUAGGACUGCAGCUUAGCCAACUGGACCUCGGGAAAGUGAAGGGCCCUUCCCAAGUUGUAUGAAAAAUGUGACGCCAUGCCUCAGUGAUUCACAUAGCUAAGCCCAGUCUCUGUGUGACCCAAUUCUUAUGGGAUGCUGGACAAAAUCUCGGGAUACAGAAAGCUGUCACACUGGCCCUCUGCAUUUGUGGAAAGGCAGAGGGGGCACCGAGCUGGUUAACAGGAAACACAGAAUGACGUCCCAGAUUUGCAACAUGUUGAAAUGGCUGACUCCUUCUGAUGCCCCUGAUGUGUUCUGACAUUCACAAGCGCUCCACACAGAACCCCAUCUGCACCGACGUGUAUGUUCUCUUAAGCUCCAACACUGACACAUCAUCCCACUUUACC